CACGUAGGGGCCAAGCGUUGUCCGGAUUUAUUGGGCGUAAAGAGCUCGUAGGCGGCUCGGUAAGUCGGGUGUGAAACCUCCAGGCUCAACCUGGAGACGCCACCUGAUACUGCUGUGGCUAGAGUCCGGUAGGGGAGCGUGGAAUUCCUGGUGUAGCGGUGAAAUGCGUAGAUAUCUGGAGGAACACCGGUGGCGAAGGCGGCAUCCUGGACCGGCAUUGACGCUGAGGCGCGAAAGCCAGGGGAGCAAACGGG
rnacentral:rRNA from 1 species